rnacentral:rRNA from 1 species
AUUGAACGCUGGCGGCAUGCCUUACACAUGCAAGUCGAACGGUAACGGGUCCUUCGGGAUGCCGACGAGUGGCGAACGGGUGAGUAAUAUAUCGGAACGUGCCCAGUAGUGGGGGAUAACUGCUCGAAAGAGCAGCUAAUACCGCAUACGACCUGAGGGUGAAAGGGGGGGAUCGCAAGACCUCUCGCUAUUGGAGCGGCCGAUAUCAGAUUAGCUAGUUGGUGGGGUAAAGGCCUACCAAGGCAACGAUCUGUAGUUGGUCUGAGAGGACGACCAGCCACACUGGGGCUUAGACACGGCCCAGACUCCUACGGGAGGCAGCAGUGGGGAGUGUUGGACAAUGGGCGCAAGCCUGAUCCAGCAAUGCCGCGUGCAGGAAGAAGGCCUUCGGGUUGUAAACUGCUUUUGUCAGGGAAGAAAUCUUCUGGGCUAAUACCCCGGGAGGAUGACGGUACCUGAAGAAUAAGCACCGGCUAACUACGUGCCAGCAGCCGCCGUAA